GUUAAUAUAGCAUAAUAAAUGCGUUUGUUUUAAGAGCAAAAGAAAGUCUUUAACUA
rnacentral:tRNA from 1 species